CUCUGUCCACUCCAGUUUUGAACAGCUUAAAGCAGAGUUAUGAUGAGGCCUUGCGAAGAAAUGAUGUUAAAGCAAUUGUCGUUACAGGUGCAAAUGGCAAGUUCUCUGGUGGCUUUGACAUUACAGCCUUUGGUGGAAUUCGAACCAGCAAGGUGGAGCAACCAAAGCCUGGUUUCGUAUCAGUCUAA